rnacentral:rRNA from 1 species
AAUCAACGCUGGCGGCGUGCCUAACACAUGCAAGUCGAACGCGAAAGCCCCGCAAGGGGUAAGUAGAGUGGCAAACGGGUGAGUAACACGUGGGUGACCUGCCUUCGAGUGGGGGAUAACGUCCCGAAAGGGACGCUAAUACCGCAUGACAUCCUGCUUUUGAAAAAGCGGAGAUCAAAGCUGGGGAUCGCAAGACCUAGCGCUUGAAGAGGGGCCCGCGCCUGAUUAGCUAGUUGGUGAGGUAACGGCUCACCAAGGCGACGAUCAGUAUCCGGCCUGAGAGGGCGGACGGACACACUGGGACUGAGACACGGCCCAGACUCCUACGGGAGGCAGCAGUGGGGAAUUGUUCGCAAUGGGCGCAAGCCUGACGACGCAACGCCGCGUGGAGGACGAAGAUCUUCGGGUCGUAAACUCCUGUCGAGCGGGACGAACGCUUCGCGGAUGAAUAAUCCGCGGAAUUGACGGUAUCGCUAAAGGAAGCCCCGGCUAACUCCGUG